GUUUUGCUUCUUUUCAGGGAUAUAACAGCACUGGUAAUUAAUGUAUUGCCCUUAUGUGCUCUUUUUCAUGUACUGGAUUCAGCAAUUUGCAUAUUUAGUGGACUUCUCAGAGGAAUUGGCAAACAGGGAAUAGGAGCUUUAGCAUACGGCAUUGGAUAUUGUGUCUUUGUUUUCCCUAUUGGAGUUCCGCUUAUGUUUGUAGCAAAGCUUGGAAUAGGAGGCUUUUGGAUUGGAGUAAUUAUUUGCUAUUUUGUUAUCAAUAUUUUCUUUUCAAUUUACUUUUGGAAAUUAGACUGGAAGAAUGUAACAAUAAAGGCCCAAGAGCGAGCUGGAUAUGGUUCCCAUAAAGGAAAGUGCUACAGAUUUCAAUUGCAGCAGUACUGAUAAACCAGCUAAUUUGGAAUUGAAAAAUUAUGCUUCAUUGGAUUCUACUUAUACAGAGACAGAACUACAUGAUGAACCGCCAAAUCUUCACCGAGAGAAGAUUGAACAACCACUUAAAAAGAUAAUCAUCCGCCGUGUCCUAGAAAUAAUUGUUAUUGUGUCUGUUUUUCUAAUUAGUCUUACUAUUAGAUUAACUGUGACACAUGCCUAGCUCCCUUUUAGGAACAAGUGUUAUAUAGAAUCUAGAAAUAAUUAUCAUCUCAAUUUAAUCACAAACCAUUAUUUACUUUACAGUUUUGUACACAUGUGCACGAUAUAAAUCUUUGCAAGCAAUUAUAUCAGUUUUACAAAUCUCAUAUUUAUCUUUUGUUACAUCAUUUUGUUACUUGAAAAUGUCCUUUUUAAAGUGUAUAUAACUCGAUAGAAGGAAGGUUUGUAGAAUAAUAAUAAUAAAUAAAAAAUAACUAUAUGUAUGAUCCUUUAAUUGUGACAAUCCAUCAUGUUGUAAAGGAAUAUUAAAGGGACAGUGUACUGUAAAAUUGUCUUUAAUCUUAA